rnacentral:rRNA from 1 species
UACACUCCUACGGGAGGCAGCAGUGGGGAAUUUUGGACAAUGGGCGAAAGCCUGAUCCAGCAAUGCCGCGUGUGUGAAGAAGGCCUUCGGGUUGUAAAGCACUUUUGUCCGGAAAGAAAUCCUUGGCUCUAAUACAGUCGGGGGAUGACGGUACCGGAAGAAUAAGCACCGGCUAACUACGUGCCAGCAGCCGCGGUAAUACGUAGGGUGCGAGCGUUAAUCGGAAUUACUGGGCGUAAAGCGUGCGCAGGCGGUUUGCUAAGACCGAUGUGAAAUCCCCGGGCUCAACCUGGGAACUGCAUUGGUGACUGGCAGGCUAGAGUAUGGCAGAGGGGGGUAGAAUUCCACGUGUAGCAGUGAAAUGCGUAGAGAUGUGGAGGAAUACCGAUGGCGAAGGCAGCCCCCUGGGCCAAUACUGACGCUCAUGCACGAAAGCGUGGGGAGCAAACAGGAUUAGAUACCCGUGUAGUCCCAU